AGACCCUGGAGGGGCGGGAUGAAGGCGGGGCGAUUGGGGGUUUGGAGAAGAACCUGCGCACUCGGCAUCCAGAAGUGAGGGUCCGAGCGGUACCUGGACUGCACCGCCCGCUGGGCAGCGUCAGGUGUGGCAUCCGCAGAACUUAUCGCACUUCCGGAGAGAGAAAUGAGAGGGAAGGCCGUGUCUAGAGAGCCUGGAGAGCCCGGAAAAGCGAAGCCCUCCCCAACACCCUGGAACGAAAGCCCAGAUGCACUUCAGAGCAAACGGCCACCACCCAAAGCACAGAGCCGCGAAUCUCCAGAUGGGAGACCCGUUUACUCAGGACUGCUCUUGUCCUCCGUUUCCUUAAGGACUUGAACUUAUGUCAGCAAAGGCUCUUAAUCAAGAAGGAUGUGUCCAUUGUGAUAUUCACUAAAAACAAAAAUAAAACCUUUUUAAGAAAGAAAGAAAUGGAAGGAAAAAAAGGAAAGGAAGAAAAGAAUACCAGCACAUCUUAACUCGAACUAGCCACAUUUCAAGUGCCCAGUACUACAUCUACCCACCUGACUACCAUACUGGACAGCACAUUUCCAGAUCUAAUUUCCAACUUGUCUGAAAUCGAAGAAACCAAGGUACCUACUAAUACCACAAGGAAACAGAAAGAUUGAAGACAGAAGUCAGAAAACUGUUUCGUAAAGGGCCAGAUAGUAAAUAUUUUAGGUUUUGCAGGCCAUAUGGUCUUUAUCACAUCAUUCUCCUCCCACCUCCUCCUCCUUCCUUUCCUUCUUUCUCCUCUUCCUCUUUCUCACAACCUUUAAAAAUAUAGUAACUAGUCUUAGCUCUGUGCUGUACAAAAACAGGCCCUAAUAUGGGCAACUUUAUCUGGCAUAUGUGACAUUCUCUAAGACAACAGACCUGGGUUUUCCAGAAAGUCAGUGUCAUGGGGGGAAAAGGUGGGAAAGGACAAGAGGGAUUCCAGGAUUCACAUGAGGCCAGUGCCCGAAGUCCAGAGCAUGAGGAUUAGGUACAAGCUGAGGCUCUAGAACAGUGCAGGAGCCAGACCACGCAGUGCUUUGAGAGGUCACAGUAAGGGUAGCAAGAAGCCGUAGAAGGUUUUAGAAGGCUUAACCAUUUUCUCCUGAAACGAAGGCUAUUCAUCUCAUACUAAUCAAGCUCUCAUUUCAAUGUCCCCUUGAAAUCUACCCUAAGAAAUGCCUGUUAAAUAAAUCAAUCUAAAUCAUGAAGCAAAGAAUUUUUGGUAUUUCAUUCAUACCGUUUCUCCUGUGGAAGUUGUUUCUCUAUGUUAUAUGUAUCGUGUCCUCUGGUUAUUUUGGAAAUGUCUUUGUUUUCGAAUGCCUGGAUGGUAUCAAGGCAGGUAACUGUAAAGUUACCAUUAGUAAAACUUAAACAUUUUAUCAGGAGAGCAGGAAGGGAAUGAGAUGUAGUGACCUGUUUAAUUAAUAUGAUGAAGGAAAGCAUGCAAUUAAUGUGAAGUCAUGAUCAUGAUGGUUUCACAGCUAUAUGAAAGUGAUUCCGACUCAUUUAUCCUGAGGAGUGUUUUUGAAUUAGCAAUUUGCCCCUUUUGUUUAUUAAAGUAAUGUCUGAAGGGGAAUGGUAGAAUCAAAACAAGAAAGGACUUAAGUAACAGGAUGACAGAAAAGAUUGGUAAUUAUAUACAGAGCAGAAAUUGUAAUAAAAAUGCGUUCAGUUUCAUUCAGUCAGUACAUACGCAUGUGUAUGGCACAAAGUCUUAUUGUCACCUGAUAUCUAGUUCCCCUCUCCUUCUAGGCACACAGUAGAACUGUACUUUCCUACCAAUCUAAGGUGAGUCAUGGCCAUCUGACCUGUUUUGGCCAAUGAACUAAGAGUAGCACAUCACUUCAAGGGGGAAACAUUUAAUGGGGCAUGCUCAGCUCUCUAUCCUUGGUUAUUCCUUACCUUGAUGAUUGUGGGAGUGUGAGGUGUGACAGUGAGCCCUUGUAUCAUGGACAACUGCCCAGGAGAGUUCUGUAGGCUUACAGUCAACUGUGAGUAAGAAUAAAUCUUGGUUGUGUUAAUCCACUAAGAUUACGGAGUUGUUUCUCUGUCAACAGAACCUAUUCUACCCUUCCUGACUUAAGACUGAUCUACACUAGGUGGUCGUGCUGGUGGGCACAGUGAGAGACAUAUAGAAACAAUUAUAGCCCUUGCCAAAAUGUUCCUGUAAAUUAAUUAAGGUAUGUAGAUCAGAAGCUAACGAGCCACGGGGCUGCAAAACU